CGGAGUAACUGCCGGUACCUUGACGGUACCUAACCAGAAAGCCACGGCUAACUACGUGCCAGCAGCCGCGGUAAUACGUAGGUGGCAAGCGUUGUCCGGAAUUAUUGGGCGUAAAGCGCGCGCAGGCGGUCCUUUAAGUCUGAUGUGAAAGCCCACGGCUCAACCGUGGAGGGUCAUUGGAAACUGGGGGACUUGAGUACAGAAGAGGAAAGCGGAAUUCCACGUGUAGCGGUGAAAUGCGUAGAGAUGUGGAGGAACACCAGUGGCGAAGGCGGCUUUCUGGUCUGUAACUGACGCUGAGGCGCGAAAGCGUGGGGAGCAAACAGGAUUAGAUACCCUGGUAGUCCACGCCGUAAACGAUGAGUGCUAAGUGUUAGAGGGUUUCCGCCCUUUAGUGCUGCAGCUAACGCA
rnacentral:rRNA from 1 species